rnacentral:rRNA from 1 species
GACGAACGCUGACGGCGUGCUUAACCCAUGCAAGUCGAACGGAGUGGCGAACGGGUGAGUAACCCGGGAGUAACCUGCCCUUUUCUUUGGGAUAAGCCUGGGAAACUGGGUCUAAUACUGGAUGGAUUGGGAUGGGCCGGCGGCUUAUCAGCUUGUUGGUGGGGUGAUGGCUUACCAAGGGUUUGACGGGUAGCCGGCCGGAGAGGGUGGGCGGUCACAGUGGGACUGAGAUACGGCCCAGACUCCUACGGGAGGCAGCAGUGGGGGAUAUUGCACAAUGGGCGAAAGGCUGAUGCAGCGACGUCGUGUGGGGGAUGAAGGCCUUCGGGUUGUAAACUCCUUUCGCCCGCGGAAUGGUAGUGGGUGAAGAAGCGCCGGCUAACUACGUGCCAGCAGCCGCGGUAAUAC